GACGGCAUGGCGCAGUGGUUACCGCGGCGGCCUGCUAUAUCAAGUAAGCCGUUUCCAUCUGGUUCGCAGGUUCGAAUCCUGCUGUCGUCG